rnacentral:rRNA from 1 species
CCUACGGGAGGCAGCAGUGGGGAAUUUUGCGCAAUGGGGGAAACCCUGACGCAGCAACGCCGCGUGGAGGAUGAAGCCCUUUGGGGCGUAAACUCCUUUCGACCGGGACGAUACUGACGGUACCGGGAGAAGAAGCCCCGGCUAACUUCGUGCCAGCAGCCGCGGUAAUACGAAGGGGGCGAGCGUUGUUCGGAAUCACUGGGCGUAAAGGGCGCGUAGGCGGCCCUGUUUGUCGCGUGUGAAAGCCCCGGGCUCAACCUGGGAGGUGCGCGCGAGACGGCGGGGCUGGAGUUCGGGAGAGGAGCGUGGAAUUCCCAGUGUAGAGGUGAAAUUCGUAGAUAUUGGGAAGAACACCGGUGGCGAAGGCGGCGCUCUGGACCGAGACUGACGCUGAGGCGCGAAAGCGUGGGGAGCAAACAGGAUUAGAUACCCUGGUAGUCCACGCCGUAAACGAUGUGUGCUAGACGUUGGGGAGCUUAGCUCUUCGGUGUCGCAGCCAACGCGGUAAGCACACCGCCUGGGGAGUACGGCCGCAAGGUUAAAACUCAAAGGAAUUGACGG